CAGCAGCCGCGGUAACACGUAGGGUGCGAGCGUUAAUCGGAAUUACUGGGCGUAAAGCGUGCGCAGGCGGUUGUGUAAGACAGGUGUGAAAUCCCCGGGCUUAACCUGGGAACUGCGCUUGUGACUGCACAGCUAGAGUAUGGCAGAGGGGGGUGGAAUUCCACGUGUAGCAGUGAAAUGCGUAGAUAUGCGGAGGAACACCGAUGGCGAAGGCAAUCCCCUGGGCCUGCACUGACGCUCAUGCACGAAAGCGUGGGGAGCAAACAGGAUUAGAUACCCGAGUAGUCCCUGUCUCUUAUAC
rnacentral:rRNA from 1 species